GGAGAUGGGGUUUCACCAUGUUGGCCAGGCUGGUUUCACCAUGUUGGCCGGGCCGUUUUCGAACUCCUGACCUCAGAUGAUCCACCUGCCUCCCAAAAUGCUGGGAUUACAGGCAUGAGCCACCGCGCCCGGCCCUACUAUUGGAUUUUUAAAGAAAGAUAUUUAAGAACAUUCUUUGCUAGAACUGAGGACAAUUUAAACUUAUUCCAUUCAAAAAAACUUAGUGCAGAAUGCAGACUUUCUCUUUCAAGUAUAUGUAAAAGUUAACUUCUUUUUUUUUCCACCUCUGGAAGACAAUGUACAAUGUAGUGCUCUUCAGAUACACUAAUGAGACCCUUUUUAUACUUUAACAGGGACAUAAACAUUUCCUUUUGUAACAAAAAUAAAUUACGAGUUUCAUUUUAAAAAGCCUAUUCCCAAGAAAUGUUUUGAGUGUUAAUCUAAGUAAGAUUUCAUUAUUAUCGUAAGUAAACCUUUGAGUUCAAAUAUUUUUUUUUUGAAAAUUGAAGGUAUAUGUAGGGGCUCAACCUAAAUGCCAGGGAAUUAACCCCCCACAGGAAGCAAUCAUAUAAUUCUAAGUCAGUAUAUAAUUGAAUCGAUGUAGGAUUUUUAAGUAUUCUCUCAACUAUAUUAAAUGAAUUGUUUUUCCAGUUUUCUAGUGGUCUAAAAACUUAAAUAGGCUGCAAAUCUGCUGUGAUUCAAACCGUGCAAUUCCUCCCAGGCAUCUCUGACUUGAGGGACUAAGUUCCUGUAAUUAUAUGUCCUGAAAUUAACUGGGUUGCCAGAUAGGUUUUCUCAACCUUCAAUAGCUUGUUGGAAGUCUUACAGAAUGCUCUUUAUUAGAAAUAUUUGGAUCUACUUCCCCCUUUUUGGAUACUCAAAUUAGUGUUUUUCUAGUUCUCUGGCAUAAUUUGUAUAGCUGCUUCCUUUGCAGAAAGUAAGCUUAUGUUCUGCUUUUCCCCUUCUGGUUGGCUGGAGUGCUAGGUCACUCUUAUCUGUGCUCUAGGAAACUUUUACGUUUCUACUUAGCUUAGGAUGACACCCUGAAAGAUUUAGGGUCUGCUUCUGUUUGGGUCAGGGGGUAGACACCUGAAUUCAUUGGUCUUUUUUUGGCUCACUGCAGCCUUGACCUCCAGCACUCAAGGGAUCCUCCCACUUCAGCCUCUAGAGUAGCUGCAACUAUAGGUGCGUGACACUAUGCUCACUAAUUUUGUGUAUUUAUUGUAGAGACAAGGUCUUACUGUGUUCCCAGGCUGGUCUCGGACUCCUGGACUCAAGGGAUCUUCCUUCUUCAGCCUCCCAAAGUGCUAGGGUAAUAGGCAUGAGCCACCAUGCCCGGCCAAAUAGAUUGGUUUUUAUCAAAGAUGCUGUAAUAUUAAUAUGCAUCUUCCUGCUUUCCCUUCAAAAGUGAGAAUUAAUGUUGUUUUCUUUUCUUUUCUUUUCUUUUUUGAGAUGGAGUCUCUCUCUGUCACCCAGGCUGGAGUGCAGUAGUGUGAUCUUGGCCCACCGCAACCUCUGCCUCCCGGGUUCAAGCAAUUCUCCUGCCUCAGCCUCCCGAGUAGCUGGGAUUACGGGGUCUUGCUCUGUCACCCAGGCUAGAGUGCAGUGGUGUGAUCACAGCUCACUGGAGCCUUGACCUCCUGGGAUCAAGCGAUUCUCCCACCUCAACCUUUGAACUUCUAGAUAAGUGGUUCUCAAAGUAUGGUCCUUCAACCAACAGCAUCAUCACUACCCAGGAACUUAUUAGAAAUGGAAGUUCCUGCACCCUGCCAAAACCAGAAACUCUGGGGAUGGGUCCCAGCAAUCUUUAUUUUAACAGCCCUUCAAGUGAUUCUGAUGCAAACUUAAGUUUGAAAACAUUGUUCUAUUAAAAGUAAUGGCAAAAACCACAAUUACUUUUGCACCAACCUAAGAGCUCUGCACUGUUCAAUAUGGUAGCCUCUAACUAUUGAAUUUUUUAAUGCUAUUAUCUCCUUUAUUCAAAAAUAAAUAUUUCACUUUGAUUCAA